rnacentral:rRNA from 1 species
AUGGCGUGCCUUUUGUAGAAUGAACCGGCGAGUUACGAUUUGAUGCAAGGUUAAGCAGUAAAUGUGGAGCCGUAGCGAAAGCGAGUCUGAAUAGGGCGUUUAGUAUUUGGUCGUAGACCCGAAACCAGGUGAUCUACCCUUGGUCAGGUUGAAGUUCAGGUAACACUGAAUGGAGGACCGAACCGACUUACGUUGAAAAGUGAGCGGAUGAACUGAGGGUAGCGGAGAAAUUCCAAUCGAACCUGGAGAUAGCUGGUUCUCUCCGAAAUAGCUUUAGGGCUAGCCUCAAGUGAUGAUUAUUGGAGGUAGAGCACUGUUUGGACGAGGGGCCCCUCUCGGGUUACCGAAUUCAGACAAACUCCGAAUGCCAAUUAAUUUAACUUGGGAGUCAGAACAUGGGUGAUAAGGUCCGUGUUCGAAAG